CGACAGAGUCCAGAAGCUCCAGAGACCUGCUGAUCUUCUCGUUCUGUGAAUGCAGGCCGUCGUCGAAGCCUCCGAUGGGCAGCAUGAUGAUGCUCUUGCCUGUGACGUCCUGGAAGCUCCUGGCGAUGGGAAUCGUGCCUCCCUCACGGAUCAGCUGGAUCCAUGUUAGGAACCUGGCGGAUGGAGAACUUGGCGAUGACUUUGGCUGGGAUGACCGUCUUGGUGCCCGGUGAGGAGAAAGCGCCCUCGAUGCCGUGGAUGGUCACGGUCGGGUGACGCCAGCGAUGGGCGAGAAGAUCCACCUGAUGGAGCAAAACAGGUUUUUCCGUGGGUUUCCUUGCACAAAACUUCAGUAUUGAAGUUAACAGAAGUGUCAGUGAAGAUGAUUGGAUGAUGUCAGGUGUAAUGCGCUGUUAUU